CUACGGGGGGCUGCAGUGGGGAAUAUUGCACAAUGGGCGCAAGCCUGAUGCAGCCAUGCCGCGUGUAUGAAGAAGGCCUUCGGGUUGUAAAGUACUUUCAGCGGGGAGGAAGGGAGUAAAGUUAAUACCUUUGCUCAUUGACGUUACCCGCAGAAGAAGCACCGGCUAACUCCGUGCCAGCAGCCGCGGUAAUACGGAGGGUGCAAGCGUUAAUCGGAAUUACUGGGCGUAAAGCGCACGCAGGCGGUUUGUUAAGUCAGGUGUGAAAUCCCCGGGCUCAACCUGGGAACUGCAUCUGAUACUGGCAAGCUUGAGUCUCGUAGAGGGGGGUAGAAUUCCAGGUGUAGCGGUGAAAUGCGUAGAGAUCUGGAGGAAUACCGGUGGCGAAGGCGGCCCCCUGGGCGAAGACUGACGCUCAGGUGCGAAAGCGUGGGGAGCAAACAGGAUUAGAUACCCGCGUAGUC
rnacentral:rRNA from 1 species